UUUAUUUCGGGUUAAUCAGAGGUUUAAAUGGUGGCAGGUGCACGCUGACUCCCAUUCAACUUGAGUUUGAUUGUGAUUCUGAACCACCACAUCCCAGUUAUGAAAGGGUGUGCACACAUGUGCAACUACAUUAUUUCAGUUAUUUAUUUUUACCUGAGCUGUACAGGUUAUAGGUCACAUUCAUGGUGGGAAUGAUUUGGAAAUUAUUUAUCUUGGUCUCAUUUUUUACAUCACAAAUCCUGGUAUUAGAACAGGGGUGUGUCGACUUUUUAUAUACACAGUAUAAUUGUGAUGGGAAUAUUAUACAACUGAUUUAUAUAAUGUACUUUUUUCUCAUCCAUUCUCUUGAAAGAAAAAAAAACUAUUCCCAUGACUUUACCACAUUUUUCUACAAAAAAAUCAUAUACUCAUUUGUAUUUCUUUUUAGUGUCUCUUAAACUCCUUCAUAAUGAAUCCAAUUAUAUUUUUGUUAUUUUAAAAUGUAAAUAUCUUUAAAAUACAAUGGUAUGGGGCAUAUUUAUAACCCCUGAUGAUAAAGCAUAUGUUCAAUAAAUCGAUAGUCUCCACACAAUGUGAUUGUUGUUAAAAAUAAACACAAAAUUGAAAGUAGCACAUUUAAAAAAAAAAAAAAAUGUUUUUAACGAAUAGGGGAGAAAAAAAUGAUUUUGAAUGAAUAAGGACAUGAAGUGAUAAGCUGGAAAUAGGAGAGAUUUUUCCUUUAAGCUAUUUUCUCCCAGAAUUCUCCACUGGGGACAGUCCACAGUCCAGUACGCACACCCUCUUUUUCCCCAGCUGUGUCUUUCCAAUGUUUUCACAACGUGCUUUCAAGUUGUCCUGUCAAAAUAAUCUGCAUAUUAUAAGCAGUUUUUUCUGCAUUAAUAGGCUACCACCAACGCAUAAGUUAUUUUUGUCAAUCCUAUGACAGCCGUGUUGUUAUUCUAACAAUCAUCGAUGGGCAACACAUGGCAUUCAUUUGUUUUGAAACGAAGCCAUGAAAGGUUGAUGAUUCUGGCUACAAGACAUGUUUCAACCGUGUGAACGGCCAUCCCAUGUCUUAAAGUCCACAGUGUUGUUCAACAUGUCCAUCAUUUCCUCAAGCAUCUGUUGGAAAUCUGGUGGUUCUCUAAAGUAGAGGAAAUCAGCAGAAAUAACAAUUAAAAUACCCGCUUAAAGUGUAAUUCACUAAUUCAAUGCCUAAACCUUUUUUUCUUUUUGAGAAUCAUACAAUCAAUGGAUGGAUGGAAUUUAAUUUCAAAAUAAUAAUGCCAGUCUGCCCAGUUAACAUGGAUAUUUGACUUCUACAGCCGUCAAUGGCAGUGAAUGUGAUAAAAAACAUACAGUGGACAUUGAAUGCCUUAAAGGUAAUUUGGACAACAUUCAUCCAUCCAUUUGUCGAUAGCGUUUGUCCUCAAUAAUGUCAUAGGUUGAGAUGGACCCCAUCCCAGAUGACUUAAUAACAACUGAUUAGUUACCAACAUUUACACAGUUAAAAUUGCACUUCCUGAAUGAUAAUAAUAAUGAUAAUGAAACACAAAAGUGCACCAAUUCUGAUAUCAGAAGUAGCUGACUUAGAGAUUGAUGCAUGGUAACUUUCGCUAAUUAACAAAGUAUACUUGUGUGUCGCUACUCAGUUUGUCAUUGAUGCACGCAGCCGAACCAAAUGAAUAUUUCGGCACACAUGCCAAUGACUGAGUCACACCCUCUGCAUCCAGUAACCGGGACGUCACCGCUUAUGUGCAAGCCACCUGAACUAGACCGCUCGAAUGAAAAAUGAACGCAAAAGUAAUAAAGGCUUAAGGCUUAGGUAACUAGUUUACACGAGUGGCCGACCGUCAUCACUAGUUUCCUACAGUAGCAACGUCCUCAACCAAGGAACAAGCCCCUCAAGAAUGGUCACAUGCAGUUAUAAUUUCACCAAAGCAUGCUAUUAUUAUUGUCUAUGGCUGAGGGAGCAAAGCAACGCUGAGUGAAUGACACACCUGCACGAGUAUAUUUUGGGUAAAAGCGCCUCCAGUUCUCAGGAAAAAAAUAAGAACUGCCAUGUAAAACAGUAUUUUGACUUAUAGUCUCUAUGCAAAGUGACAGUGAAGUGGGGGGGACGACGACGACGACAGAUCAUUCACCAAGACCAUUGCCAAAGAGUUCAGUCUGUGUAUGUGUGUCAAUGGAGGGAAUAUUAUUACUGUAAAAAGAGGUCAUCUUUUAAUUGCAUCUGUUCUCUGCUAUGUGCCGUUAAUACUCUUAGUCAUCUCUCAAGAAUCUGUGGUGAAUGUUUUUGCUCCUGAAGCAGUUUUGGCAAACCACAACAUUCUUUGGAAUCCCACCCCCACCAAGCGAUUAACUGCACCCAACAAAGACAAUGUACCUGUUUUGAAAGUGGCUCAAGAAGUUGGAAUUCAAUAAGGCACCACAAUCUCAAGAGUCUUUUCUCGACGAAUAGAAUCGGCAUUUCUUUUUUUGAAGGUUUUGAGAUAUAUGUACAGGUAGCUGCCAUUGGUGGGAAGUAAUGAGUACAAAUGCUUUGUUACUAUAAUUAAGGAGAUUUUUUUUUUUUUUUUUUUAAGGUAUGUGGACUUCAUUGAGUAUUUUUUCCUGAUGAUUUUUUAAUCUCUAUAUUUGAAACAAGAUACCUGUAUUUUCUACUUUUUACUUUGACAAAAUACACUUGUUGCAUGGAUGAAGACACAUCAAAAAGACAUGAAAUCUUGAUUGAGACCUUGGGCUCAGGUAAGGCAGCGACAUGGAGGAACGUGAACCAGGGAGCAUUAACAAUAACGGUGACUGAUUUGCAGACGGAAAAUAUUCUCAUUCAUGGCCUCAUUUAAGAGAAUUGUUUGAUGUUGUUGGUAACAAGAAUGAUUUUUGUCAAAUGUAUUGUUUUGUGCCAGCUCUUCAAAAAUUAUCGGUUUAAUCCAAAAAAAUACAUACUGGUGAGGUGUAUUUUUUUUCUGUAGUCAUCAUUGGCUAAUUUAUCUUUUUUUUUAUUUUUUAUUUUUUUUUUGCUAGCCGGUUCACAUAGCAAGGCUAUGGGAACACUAAGCACUUAAAACAACAACAUGCCAAUCCAACAAUGAAUUCUGCUUCACAAAGAUAGUAAGAAAGACCCCGCAUCGAACGAUCCAAACGCGAGGUCGAACGCUUGGCCAUCACAAGCCACAACGCGCCACGUUAUCGCUGAGGAUCAAUCAGAGCAAAGCUGUUUUACAUACCUAAAUUGAAAUAAGGGAUCGAUUCAGAGCAAUGCUUCCUUACAUAUCGUAUAUUAAUGAGAAAUCCGGCUCUCUCAACUGCCAGGCGAAAAAGGCCAACUAGAAUAGCAGAGUAAAAGGAUAUUCUGGGCAUUUUCAACCCAAAUUAUCUUGCAUAUAUUUACUGUUGAGAGGCUGAAAUUCCAAGGAUUUUGACUAUUUUGAGUUAAACAAUGGCUGUAAACGAUUAAUCGACUAUCAAAAUAAUUGUCGAUUCAUUUAAUAAUUGAUUAGUUGUCAAUUAAUCGAUCAGUUGUUGCAUCUUUAAUCGAGAUCAGCGAUAUUUGGAUUGAUCCGCCCACCAUUACUUGCAGCUUCAUGUUCCAAAUCUUCAUCCAAUCAAGCCCAGCCUCGGCGCCGCAUCCCGAGGCCUCCGCACCUUUCCCCUGCCUUGUGCACCAGGGAUCCACGCCCCGGAGCUACUCCAGUAGGAUCAGUCCAACGCAUGCAAACAUGCAGACACGCCUUAUCUGCGCUGCAUUUGUGCCAGAAACUCAACACACUCACACAUUUUUCACAAAAAAAAAAAAAAAAAAAAAAAAAAAAAAAAAGCCAAACCAGUGCACUCUUACCAACUUCCAUAUGCCACAUUGAGAAAAAAACAAAAAACAAACUGUUCACAAUAAGUUAAUGUGGCCCACAUGGGUCCAAUGAAAACCGCUGUCAGUGUGAACAAUGCUGGCAGCUGCACACCUCCAGCACAGGGGACAUGUUAACAGCAAUAGUCGGAGGAACCGGCCAACUCACACACACGGACCUGUCCCCUCUCUGUUUGUUAAAUGGACUAUGAGGCGCUUCACAGCACUUGCAACACGCCUGCUCUUAAAUGAACACGUAUGAUGCAGGGCGAUAACAGCUGAUCCCUGUUGAAAGCUCAUGUUCACACGAUGCCACUCGAGUCACCCCGUGAGCUGCCGGUGCUUCCGCUCCUUGGGCUCGAUAUGAGUCAGGCGACGGCAGCAAACGCGGGAGCGGGUGAUGUUUCAGAUGCAAACGGUCGACGGAUUCGCUCCGUGUGGCGUGCUGCAUCGCUCAACCUGUUCUUCAGGAUCCCCCACAGGCCCAAAACACAUAAUUCACCACAGAGAGCUCGACUUCAAAAAGGUAUGCAGCGCCUGCUAACAGCUCCAGAUUCACUUUUAGAACUUAAACUGGAAACCUGUCGCCCACUUUGGAGUCAAUCCAAAUUUGAGGUCAGCGUAUCUGGUGAAACUUUUGCUUAGUAAGAGCUUUUUAAUUGGUCUCAACUUGGGACCCACAACCAGGUCUAACCAAGCAAAUGUCGAUCCAUCCAUUAUUAUUAUUAUUUUUUUUUAUAGUGGUUGUCCUAUUAGGGUUACAUGUGAGCUGGACCCUGCCCAAGCUGACUUUGGGCUGGAGGCGGGGUACACCCAGGUAAUCUCAGGACAAACAUUCAAACUGACAUUAACACCAGUGGAAAAUCACUGUACUUGUACUAAGAUUGGCAUAUUACAGCAAUCAAACAGAAAAACAGUGGGUCAAACAAAUUUUUGUCAUGGGCCACAUUGUGACUUCACUCCCAGGGCUUAUACAACAAAUUGAUAGAUAACUAGUUUUGAAAUCAGACACCUAUAAACACACGUUUUCAACUAAUAUCUGCAAUUUUGAUAUUUUCAGUCGACGCACAUCAUUUGCUUUCACGCGCCACAUAAAACGAUGUGGAGGGCCAGAUCUGGCCCGCGGGCCACGAGUUGGACACCAGUGCAGUAAGGUCUCUUGACUCUUUUUGCCUUAAUAAAAACUAUGUUGAUGCUGUGACAUGCUGCCAGACUACAGUUUCGGCUGGGUUUUGCAAGGUAAUGAAAUCUCCAGUUACAGCGUCAAUCCCUGUGGCCCACAGCAACACUUGACCCCAACAAACACACACACACACACACAGGAGGAGUCCCCCCACAUCGCCUUGUAUCAUCGCAUCUGUUUCCUCCCCCCUCCCCCCCCCAAUGCUCAUUGCAUGUAGCAGACGGUUUUGCCAUCCUCGUCCCAAAAUAGGCAGCCGCUAGCACAGCCAGGUCAGAUGGUUUUGAAACAUCGAUGGCAAGCGGAAGAGGGGAGGGGGCGCUCCUCAGAGAGGUGGGCUCGAGUGGAGGCUUCGUUCACACCAGGGUGACAGCGAGUGCUAGGGAACAAAAGUCGAGGGUAUUUGCCUCCGCACGCAACAGGUGGCGGGUCUUUUCCUUCACGGCGUUUUCACACAGGGGUAUUAGUUUGGGGGGGGGGGGGGGGGGGGUGGCAUGGGCUUCGCUAUUUGCAAGUUUGUUACAACUCGAGUCAACAUGAUGUCAGAAGAACUUUGUCGGACACAGGUGUUCAACUCAAGGCCUGGGGGCAGAUGUGGCCAGCUGAAGCAAAUCAUGUGCAUCUACUUCAUGCUUUUUGCUAUAAUCUGUACUAAAAUUUUAAAAAGUCUUAAUUUUUAUAACUUUGAGAUAUUGGAAGAAUGUUUUUUUUUUUUUGUCACCAAACCCUUUUUUAAAAUGAAUUGAACAAUAGUUGAUACUGUGUGGCCUGCUAAAGCAAAAAUAUUAGUGUCUACUACGUCCUGCUCCUUGAAGGACUCUUCCGCGAUCUAGCAACCCUUUAUUGCUCAGUGACUGUUUUUCUCAAUGUCUUUAUGUCUCAAAAGUGUCCAAUUGACUGUGUUGUCAUACUAGAGUGGCUCCAACUCCCGGAGACAAAUUCCUUGUGUGUUUUUGGACAUACUUGGCAAAUAAAGAUGAUUCUGAUUCUGAUCUUCCGCAGCACCGUCAAGGCCAUCAUGAUGACAGCCACGUCUUCAAAUCGGGUCCCCUUAUAUCCAUAUGGUAGCCACAAUUUAGUAUUUUGUGCGCACAUUAUACCUCAUUUGUGGCCACAUAUACAUAUCUGUGGCCAUUUUUUUUUCCUACAACGCUGCAUUCCAUAAACUUGGGAAAGCUGCAAUUUCAGAACUCACACGAGGAAAAGAGCAUUGAAACAGUCCUCAAAGUCAAUGUUGGAAGCCCACAGAUGUGCCCUUAGAGACUACGCACAACAAAACUUUAAGUGUAUUUCCCGGUUACACGACAUAUCGCCACAGCACGACACAACACAACACAAAACAACCCAUUAUCCAUAAAAGUUUUGAAAAGUACAUUCUUUUAGUGAUUGCUAAGUUAUAUUUAUCCAUUUUCUAUAACGCUUGCCCUCACUAUGUUUGCAUUAUCAUUAUGCCAUUAUGCCUGACUCUGUGGACUGUUUCUAGUUUUUGUAUUUAUUUAGAUUAUGCAAGGCGUAAGUCGUCAACUCCAGCUUGAAAGGUGCUUUUAUGUCAUUGAUAAAACAGUUAGCUCAGGGGUAAUGAGAUAAUUGUUAUUCCUACUUCCAGUGUCUCUUUCAAAGGCUUUUAGAUUGAUCACAGAAUCAGCCUGCAGUUCCACUUGCAGCCUCCUAAUGACUUAACCACACAACUCUUUAACCAUCCUCAAGGCUACCAACCACUGCGAGAACGCAACUCGUCUUCAUCAGCAGGAUUUCCGCCUUCUGCUGCAGCGGGUGAGACCAAACCAAAGUGCAUGGAAGUCACCAGCGUGGUGCCGUUGACGGGAAAAAAAAAACGAAACGCCGGGAGCAAACCUCAUCAGGCUUUCACACCACAUUACUGCAGCCAAGGCAUGUGUGAGGAAAAAGUAUAUAUACAAGCAAAAUGCAUUAAGAAACCAAAUCUACUUAAGCAUAAUAAGACAUCCGUCCUCAUACAAGGCGCCACUUACUUUUUCAUCCCGCAUGACACAUGGUUACAAUCCCUCCUUGGCCUUUUACCAAGCAUCCUCGCGACAAGAAUUUAUGCAUUUGACUGACUUGUUUUCCCCAGCAACAUCACUCAUUGUGCUCAAGUGCCAGAAAAGGAAAUCAUACACCGGAUCUAUUCUCAAAGUCAUUUAAUGUUGUGUGGAUUUGUUUCCUCUCUUACAGUUUAUUGUGUGUAUCAUUAUGACAAACACUACAUGAGCAGGAGAAAAAGUAGCAAUGCACAAUAAAAGCUUCUGACAUGGCAAAGUUGAACUGGGAGCAGUAGAAAUAAAGUCUUGUUUGGAUUACAGUACAGUGGAACCUCGAUUUAAUGGACUUUAGAUUUUAACGGACAGAAAAUAGUGUACAGUUAGAACUCAAAAUCACCCCUCCCAUAUACCAGCGAGGUAAGUUUGGACAAACUUGAAAACUUUUCAAACAUUUUAAAGCUUUUUUUUUUUUUUUUUUUUAACAAUAAUUUUGUAUUGCAAUGGGUGUUUUUAGGCCAAAAAAGUGCUUCAAUUUAAGGGACAAUCGGAUUUAACGGACAACCCCUGCCCACCCUAUUAGUCUGUUAAAUCAAGGUUUCAGUGUACUUUUACUUUAAAGACAAAAUGUUUUGUGGGGGUGGUUGUCCUGUCUCAUGCAAAUGAGCCACUGCUCCCCGAAUCAACUUGUUCAAGAGUGAACAAGUUGGAGAGUGACGGAUACAAAACGAUGUUACUGACUGGUUACUUCAGAACUUCAUAUCACUUCACGCUUCUUGUUGUAUGCUGGUACAUGAACUGACUGAGGUCGUUUUUCUUUUUUUCUGGCUAUGUAAAAUUAUUUGUUUGCUAUUUUUUUAAAAAGGUGAUGCUAAUCUAUGCAUUAUACAACACUGCAGCUCUGCUAAAAUAAGGUUUGAUAUAAAAGUGGUUCUGUGUAGUCCACAAAAAAAUUACGUUGUGCAAUUCCACACUAAAAAGGUGCGCAUGUACUCCAGAGACCAAAGCAAUUAAAAAGUUAUGUUUCUCUUGAAA